rnacentral:rRNA from 1 species
AACACAUGCAAGUCGAACGGUGAACACGGAGCUUGCUCUGUGGGAUCAGUGGCGAACGGGUGAGUAACACGUGAGCAACCUGCCCCUGACUCUGGGAUAAGCGCUGGAAACGGCGUCUAAUACUGGAUAUGUGACGUGACCGCAUGGUCUGCGUCUGGAAAGAAUUUCGGUUGGGGAUGGGCUCGCGGCCUAUCAGCUUGUUGGUGAGGUAAUGGCUCACCAAGGCGUCGACGGGUAGCCGGCCUGAGAGGGUGACCGGCCACACUGGGACUGAGACACGGCCCAGACUCCUACGGGAGGCAGCAGUGGGGAAUAUUGCACAAUGGGCGCAAGCCUGAUGCAGCAACGCCGCGUGAGGGACGACGGCCUUCGGGUUGUAAACCUCUUUUAGCAGGGAAGAAGCGAAAGUGACGGUACCUGCAGAAAAAGCGCCGGCUAACUACGUGCCAGCAGCCGCGGUAAUACGUAGGGCGCAAGCGUUAUCCGGAAUUAUUGGGCGUAAAGAGCUCGUAGGCGGUUUGUCGCGUCUGCUGUGAAAUCCGGAGGCUCAACCUCCGGCCUGCAGUGGGUACGGGCAGACUA